rnacentral:rRNA from 1 species
AGAGUUUGAUCAUGGCUCAGGACGAACGCUGGCGGCGUGCUUAACACAUGCAAGUCGAGCGAUGAAGUUCCUUCGGGAACGGAUUAGCGGCGGACGGGUGAGUAACACGUGGGUAACCUGCCUCAUAGAGGGGAAUAGCCUUCCGAAAGGAAGAUUAAUACCGCAUAAGAUUGUAGUGCCGCAUGGCAUAGCAAUUAAAGGAGUAAUCCGCUAUGAGAUGGACCCGCGUCGCAUUAGCUAGUUGGUGAGGUAACGGCUCACCAAGGCGACGAUGCGUAGCCGACCUGAGAGGGUGAUCGGCCACAUUGGGACUGAGACACGGCCCAGACUCCUACGGGAGGCAGCAGUGGGGAAUAUUGCACAAUGGGGGAAACCCUGAUGCAGCAACGCCGCGUGAGUGAUGACGGUCUUCGGAUUGUAAAGCUCUGUCUUCAGGGACGAUAAUGACGGUACCUGAGGAGGAAGCCACGGCUAACUACGUGCCAGCAGCCGCGGUAAUACGUAGGUGGCAAGCGUUGUCCGGAUUUACUGGGCGUAAAGGGAGCGUAGGUGGAUAUUUAAGUGGGAUGUGAAAUACUCGGGCUUAACCUGGGUGCUGCAUUCCAAACUGGAUAUCUAGAGUGCAGGAGAGGAAAGUAGAAUUCCUAGUGUAGCGGUGAAAUGCGUAGAGAUUAGGAAGAAUACCAGUGGCGAAGGCGACUUUCUGGACUGUAACUGACACUGAGGCUCGAAAGCGUGGGGAGCAAACAGGAUUAGAUACCCUAGUAGUCC